rnacentral:rRNA from 1 species
AGCGAACGCUGGCGGCGUGCCUAACACAUGCAAGUCGAACGUGAAAUGGGGCAACCCAAAGUAAAGUGGCGUACGGGUGAGUAACGCGUAGGUAAUCUACCCUAAAGUUCCGAAUAACCGGCCGAAAGGCUGGCUAAUACGGGAUAGAGCGAGGGGAUUCGUAAUAGAAUCUUUCGGGAAAGGGAGCUGGCAACAGCCCUUGCUUUAGGAUGAGCCUGCGUCUCAUUAGCUAGUUGGCGGGGUAANGGCCCACCAAGGCUUUGAUGAGUAGCUGGUCUGAGAGGACGAUCAGCCACAUUGGGACUGAGACACGGCCCAAACUCCUACGGGAGGCAGCAGUGGGGAAUAUUGGACAAUGGGCGCAAGCCUGAUCCA